rnacentral:rRNA from 1 species
CCUACGGGAGGCAGCAGUAGGGAAUAUUGCGCAAUGGGGGAAACCCUGAAGCAGCAACGCCGCGUGGAGGAUGAAGGUCUUCGGAUUGUAAACUCCUUUUGUUAGAGAAGAGAAUGACGGUAUCUAACGAAUAAGCAACGGCUAACUCCGUGCCAGCAGCCGCGGUAAUACGGAGGGGGCAAGCGUUACUCGGAAUCACUGGGCGUAAAGGGCGCGUAGGCGGGGUAGCAAGUCAGAUGUGAAAUCCUAUGGCUUAACCAUAGAACUGCAUUUGAAACUGUUAUUCUAGAGUAUGGGAGAGGUAGGUGGAAUUCGUGGUGUAGGGGUGAAAUCCGUAGAGAUCAAGAGGAAUACUCAUUGCGAAGGCGACCUGCUAGAACGUAACUGACGCUGAUGCGCGAAAGCGUGGGGAGCAAACAGGAUUAGAUACCCGUGUAGUC